rnacentral:ncRNA from 1 species
AAGAAGCAAUAGCGAAAUCGUGGCCUGACGGACAGAAAUCCGAUAGGAAGGCGUAUCAAGUGGACAAGCUGGCCAAAGACAGUGAAGUUCCCAAAGGCAACCGUAACCUUGAUGCGUAAAUUAGGCGGGUAAACGAGGAAAGAUG